GAGUUCCCUUCAACCACUUCACGUGGCACUAUUUUAGGACCUACUAUGUGAAGUGUUUGGGGGAACUC
rnacentral:pre_miRNA from 1 species